rnacentral:rRNA from 1 species
UACAGAGGUCUCAAGCGUUUGUUCGGAUUCAUUGGGCGUAAAGGGUGCGUAGGCGGCGCGGUAAGUCGGGUGUGAAAUCUUGGGACUUAACUCCGAAACUGCAUUCGAUACUGCCGUGCUUGAGGACUGGAGAGGAGACUGGAAUUUACGGUGUAGCGGUGAAAUGCGUAGAUAUCGUAAGGAAGACCAGUGGCGAAGGCGGGUCUCUGGACAGUUCCUGACGCUGAGGCACGAAGGCCAGGGGAGCAAACGGG